rnacentral:rRNA from 1 species
GACGAACGCUGGCGGAGUGCCUAAUACAUGCAAGUUGAGCGAUGAAGAUUGGUGCUUGCACCAAUUUGAAGAGCAGCGAACGGGUGAGUAACGCGUGGGGAAUCUGCCUUUGAGCGGGGGACAACAUUUGGAAACGAAUGCUAAUACCGCAUAACAACUUUAAACAUAAGUUUUAAGUUUGAAAGAUGCAAUUGCAUCACUCAAAGAUGAUCCCGCGUUGUAUUAGCUAGUUGGUGAGGUAAAGGCUCACCAAGGCGAUGAUACAUAGCCGACCUGAGAGGGUGAUCGGCCACCUUGGGACUGAGACACGGCCCAAACUCCUACGGGAGGCAGCAGUAGGGAAUCUUCGGCAAUGGACGAAAGUCUGACCGAGCAACGCCGCGUGAGUGAAGAAGGUUUUCGGAUCGUAAAACUCUGUUGGUAGAGAAGAACGUUGGUGAGAGUGGAAAGCUCAUCAAGUGACGGUAACUACCCAGAAAGGGACGGCUAACUACGUG